GCUACGGGUGGCUGCAGUGAGGAAUAUUGGUCAAUGGGCGGGAGCCUGAACCAGCCAAGUCGCGUGAGGGAAGAAGGUACUGAGUAUUGUAAACCUCUUUUGCCAGGGGACAAAGGCGGCCACGGGUGGCCGUAAGAGGGUACCUGGAGAAAAAGCCUCGGCUAACUCCGUGCCAGCAGCCGCGGUAAUACGGAGGAUGCGAGCGUUAGCCGGCUUUAUUGGGUUUAAAGGGUGCGUAGGCGGUAUUUUAAGUUAGUGGUAAAACGUCGGGGCUUCACCUUGAUUGGCCAUUAAAACUGGAGUACUAGAGUACAGACGAGGUAGGCGGAAUAAGUUAAGUAGCGGUGAAAUGCUUAGAUAUAACUUAGAACCCCGAUAGCGAAGGCAGCUUACCAGACUGUUACUGACGCUGAAGCACGAGAGCGUGGGUAGCGAACAGGAUUAGAUACCCCUGUAGUC
rnacentral:rRNA from 1 species